GCCAGAUUUAUUAAACUUUAAAAAAGGCUGGAUGGCCAAACUGGAUGAAAAUGAGCAGCCAAAGAAAUAUUGGUUUGUUCUUUCGAUGAACAGUCUGAGAUUCUACAGGGACUCCUUAGCUGAGGAGUCCUCAGAUCUUGAAGGAGAAAUCAAGCUUACAAAGUGUUUUAAGGUGUCUGAAUUUCAUGUUCAGAGAAACUACGGCUUC